UAGGGAAUCUUCCGCAAUGGGCGAAAGCCUGACGGAGCAACGCCGCGUGAGUGAUGAAGGUCUUCGGAUCGUAAAACUCUGUUAUUAGGGAAGAACAAAUGUGUAAGUAACUAUGCACGUCUUGACGGUACCUAAUCAGAAAGCCACGGCUAACUACGUGCCAGCAGCCGCGGUAAUACGUAGGUGGCAAGCGUUAUCCGGAAUUAUUGGGCGUAAAGCGCGCGUAGGCGGUUUUUUAAGUCUGAUGUGAAAGCCCACGGCUCAACCGUGGAGGGUCAUUGGAAACUGGAAAACUUGAGUGCAGAAGAGGAAAGUGGAAUUCCAUGUGGAGCGGUGAAAUGCGCAGAGAUAUGGAGGAACACCAGUGGCGAAGGCGACUUUCUGGUCUGUAACUGACGCUGAUGUGCGAAAGCGUGGGGAUCAAACAGG
rnacentral:rRNA from 1 species